rnacentral:lncRNA from 1 species
CAUGAGUUGGCACCCACUGUUAACGUGGUUCAUGACUUUCUGUUUAAGCUGUGCCACCUGUUCCCUGAGCAUGUUGGCCGUGGACGCCAGCUCCGAGUUCUGAGCUUUCAAGGUUUUCACUUUUUCCUCCAGCCGGGCGAUUCUCUCCAGCUUCCUUUUUCGGCACUUGGAGGCAGCGAUGCGGUUCCUCAUGCGCUUCCUCUCUGCCUUGAUCCGCUCCUGGGACUCCAUGUCGAUGGGGGACAGGGGCGGCGUCUCGCCGGGCAUCUCGGGCACUGUCUGAGGCUCCUCCUUCAGGGCCUGCAGUCGCGGGUGCUGCACCGGCAUCUGCUGGGGCAAGUGGUGGGGCGGCUGCGGCGGCUGCUGCUGCUGCUGGGGUUGCGCGGGAAAGGCCAGGCCGGCCGCGCCGUAGGAGGGCGCCCCGCCGCCGCUGCUCAGCGCUCCGGGGUUGAAGUUGCUGAGGUUGGCGUAGACCGGCGGCUCGCUGUGCAGGCUGGCGCUGAAGCCGCCGCUGCCACUGCCCCCCGCCACCGAGGCCACCGCGGGAGCCACCAUGCCCGCCCCGCUGACCGGCUGCGCCGCCGACGUGACGCUGGGAUGUGUGUUCUGGCUGUGCAGCUCGGCCAGGGCGCGCACGAAACCCUCGGCGAAGCCCUCCUGCUCGUCUGUCACGUUCUUGGGGCACAAGAACUGGGUGGGGGUCGGCGUGGUGGUAAUGUGCCCAUUGCUGGACUGGAUGAUGAGGCGCUCCAGCUCGGGAGACGCCAGCUUGAGCAGCCCCACGUCGGGCGAGGUGAGGAGGUCCGAGUUCUUGGCGCGAAGGUGCGGCUUCAGGCUCCCCACUGGGUCGGCCAGGUUCAGGGUCAUACUCUGUUUCAGGAUCUUGGGGUUACUGUAGCCAUAAGCUCCGCUCUCGGACUGGAGGAACGAGGCGUUGAGGGCAUCGUCAUAGAAGGUCGUUUCCAUCUUUGCAGUCAUAGAACAGUCCGUCACUUCACGUGA